AGACGGCAGCAAACGGCAGAGCAAAGGAGUCGUUUUCUUUCACCUGAAAGCCGCGAGGAGGCUUGGAGCGCCUUUCCUCGCUGGGGCCCGAGCUUCCUGGGCUUUGGCCGGGUGCGGGCAGACCCCACCGGGGUCCUCGUCAUCUCCCAGCCCAGCCCGCAGAGCGAGUACCGGCAGAUUUCAAGGGCGCGUGAGCCUGGCUGUCGGCUGGGCCCCUGAGGCUCGCUGGGCGGGGGCAGGCCGGUCCAGGCUGUGCGGGGCGUUUACAAAAAGUGACUUGGAGAUGAACUCGCCCGUGCGCGGCUGGCCGCCCCGCUAUAGGGGCGAAGGCGCCUGACGCAAGCGGAACUCGGUGGAGCCCAUACGAAUCAGAACAGAGCGAGGCUCCUGGCGCACUAGGGACUCCAGGAGGCAGCUCCGCCAGAGACGCGGGUCGUGCUUCGGGAAACCGGGGGGCGGGGGGAGGGGAAGAGCGCAGAAAAGAAAACCCACCAAGGCGGGGACUGGCCUGAGCGGGGAGGGGCGGCGAGGCCGGAGCCCCUCUCUGUUGGGCGGACUCCCCAUGGCCAGAGGCUGAGCUCCACUCCCGCCGGCCGCUCCCUAGGGGAAGGGGAAGGAGAGGGGAGAGCAGCGACAGGCCUCCAGCAAGCAAGCGCGGGCGGCAUCCGCAGUCUCCAGAAGUUUGAGACUUGGCCGUAAGCGGACUCGUGCGCCCCAACUCUUUGCCGCGCCAGCGCCUGGAGCGGAGAGCAGAGGCGGCCCGGCCGCGGCGCGCCGGCUUUGUCAUGAUGGCCAGCUACCCCGAGCCCGAGGACGCGGCGGGGGCCCUGCUGGCCCCAGAGACCGGUCGCACAGUCAAGGAGCCAGAAGGGCCGCCGCCGAGCCCAGGCAAGGGCGGUGGGGGUGGCGGCGGGACAGCCCCGGAGAAGCCGGACCCGGCGCAGAAGCCCCCGUACUCGUACGUGGCGCUCAUCGCCAUGGCGAUCCGCGAGAGCGCGGAGAAGAGGCUCACGCUGUCCGGCAUCUACCAGUACAUCAUCGCGAAGUUCCCGUUCUACGAGAAGAAUAAGAAGGGCUGGCAAAAUAGCAUCCGCCACAACCUCAGCCUCAACGAGUGCUUCAUCAAGGUGCCGCGCGAGGGCGGCGGCGAGCGCAAGGGCAACUACUGGACGCUGGACCCGGCCUGCGAAGACAUGUUCGAGAAGGGCAACUACCGGCGCCGCCGCCGCAUGAAGAGGCCCUUCCGGCCGCCGCCCGCGCACUUCCAGCCCGGCAAGGGGCUCUUCGGGGCCGGAGGCGCCGCAGGCGGGUGCGGCGUGGCGGGCGCCGGGGCCGACGGCUACGGCUACCUGGCGCCCCCCAAGUACCUGCAGUCUGGCUUCCUCAACAACUCGUGGCCGCUACCGCAGCCUCCCUCACCCAUGCCCUAUGCCUCCUGCCAGAUGGCGGCAGCCGCAGCGGCUGCAGCAGCUGCGGCUGCAGCCGCGGGCCCCGGUAGCCCUGGCGCGGCCGCUGUGGUCAAGGGGCUGGCGGGCCCGGCCGCCUCGUACGGGCCGUACACACGCGUGCAGAGCAUGGCGCUGCCCCCCGGCGUAGUGAACUCGUACAAUGGCCUGGGAGGCCCGCCGGCCGCACCCCCGCCUCCGCCGCACCCCCACCCGCAUCCGCACGCACACCAUCUGCACGCGGCCGCCGCACCGCCGCCUGCCCCACCGCACCACGGGGCCGCCGCGCCGCCGCCGGGCCAGCUCAGCCCUGCCAGCCCAGCCACCGCCGCGCCCCCGGCGCCCGCGCCCACCAGUGCGCCGGGCCUGCAGUUCGCUUGUGCCCGGCAGCCCGAGCUCGCCAUGAUGCAUUGCUCUUACUGGGACCACGACAGCAAGACCGGCGCGCUGCAUUCGCGCCUCGAUCUCUGAGAGCCCACCGCAUGCCGGUGCAGACGGAUGCGAGGAUGCAGGGACGCGCGACGCCGGCCCCGGUCGCAGCCGACGACGCCGCCGCCAGCCUGACCUCACACCCUCUGGGCCCGCCUCUGGAGCCAGCGCCCAGGGUCCCUCUGUGCUUUUUCGCUUUCCUAAGCUCCUGUCGCUCCUCUUUGUCCCCUCAGUUUAUGUCCUCCUGUGCUCACCUCCCUGACCUCUGUGACCUUGCACUCCCCUGGCCUGAAGCUGCCUCUCUGCGCGCUUUCUACUGGGCUCGUCUCUUUCCGGAGCCCCAGCGUCUCCUGCCCAAAUUCACCGCGGAAAGGGCCCGGGGCGGAGGUGCGACCGGGCGUCGGCAGCGCAGACCUCUUGGCCUUCUCUCACAGGUCGGUGCGCUCGCUCUCCGCGUUCCCCGCCCGACUGCCGUGCAGUCCAUGGCUAGACGCGCCGGACAGGACUGAUGGCGGGACCGCGCUGCCCGAGAAAGGGACGGACCAAUACGUGUGUUUGCUCCGCGAACCCUCUUGAAGCUGUUCAGAAGCCGCUUGCCGCGGGGCCCACUAGGCGGGGCGGGGGUUGGGACCCAGCGGGAGCCGGGGCAGCCUGGCUCCACGGCCUGUACUCGGUUUACACCGCGGGCGGGCGCGGAGGGAGGCUGCGUUUCCUCCGCUAUCAGUCCCGUCGCUUCGGGCACCUCCGGGCCCCGGCGGCUGGCUAAUGUUUUGUUUGAAAGAUCGGUGGAACUUUUUAAGAGAGUAUUUAAAAAAAAAAAAAGGAAAAAAAAUUCACCGGGCAACCGGGGAAGUAUUGUGGCCUUGGAGUUUGCUAAAUCCAAAUAUGAAAAUCAAAAGCUUUAGUAUUCCUCAUCUUCUCUUCUGGAAGAUUUGCGUUAGAGUUUUUGUUGGGCCUUCAAAAAGCUGUGUUCAGAGUUAGGAGAAUAUAUCCAAUAAAAGAUGGUUUCGUCUACCAAUUGGGGAAGUUUCACCCUCUCCCUAUCUGAAGAAAAAAAUCAAAAACAAAUGUCCCCGGAUCUUUCGAUGCAAGUCCUGGAGGCAGGGAGAUCACUGCCUGCCUGGCCCACGCUGCUGGGACGGCUCGUCCUCCCUGCUUUUUGUUUUUCAAACCUCCUGCUUCUCCCACCUUGGGAAGGAGAAAUGUGAAACCCGGCAGCGGCCGACCUAGGCGGUCUUGUGGCCCGGAGCCGGCCCGGCCCGAAAACCAUAGACCUGGUUGUACUGUAGCUUGUUGUUUGGGGGACCAAAUUUUCUAGAGAGAACUAGAGCACUUUUGUUGUGUUUUUUUGUUUUGUUUUUGUUUUUUGCCUUGUCGAUUCCCGAAUAAAUUUUGUGUUCCUUCUUUUAACACGGACUUCUUUAUUUCUGUCGCUCCUUAGUUCAGCAGCUAGUUAAAAGAGGAAGAUUUUCAGCAAAAUUUUAUCUUUUUCAGAAUGAGUUAAACAAAGAUUGAGAGCAACCGGGGUGGCAGGCGUUUGUGGCUGUCGCUGCUGCUUUGUUUUCCUGGGAUUGUUUGUUUUCUGUGUCAUCACUGGCCCGUUGCGGCUGUUUAACGUCAGCAGAAAGACUUUUUCUGCCGUGGUUCGUUCACAAGGCGCGACUGUAGAACCAGAGAGCACAGGCAGCACAAGACAAGACCAAACUGCCUUUUCAAAAGCGGAGAAAGGUGAUCAACACAAAGACCAGUGACUGAUGGAGGAUGUCCAGAGAGUGGGGCUGGGGACAGAUACCAUGACAUUUGAAACUAUAGAGAGGGCUUGGAGAUCCCAAAUGAAGUCUAGGGCUGUGAUUUUCAAAGUGUGGAACCCAAAUCAUCAGCAGCACCUAGGACCUUGUUAGAAAUGCAAACUCUCAACCCCACCUCAGCCCCACUGAAUCAGCAACUCUAGGGUGGAGCCAGCAGUCUGUCUUACGAAGGCCUCCAGGUGAUCCGGAUGCAAACUCAAGUUUGAAAACAAAUGGUUUACUCUAGGGAAGCCCUCAUCCCACACAUCCUGCACCUAAAACACAUGGCUGGGUGCGGUGGCUCAUGCCUGUUAUCCCAGCAUUUUGAGCGGCAGAAACGGGAGGAUAACUUGAGGCCAGGAGUUUGAGACCAGCCUGGGCAACAUAACGAGACCACCCCCUCCCCGCCCCCCACCAUCUCUACAAAGAAUUUAAAAAUUAGGCACUGGCCGGGCUUGGUAGCUCAUGCCUAUAAUCCCAACUACUUGGGAGGAUCCAUGGAGCCCAGUAGUAUGAGGCUGCGGAGCUAUGAUUGUGCCGCUGCACUCCAGCCUGGGCAGCAGCAAGACCUUGUCUCUAAAAAACAAACAAACAAAAAAAGAAACACUUUCAGGCUUUUAGAUCCCUGAAUGGUUUCCAAGAAGCCAGGCAGGAAUUCUGAUGUUACCCCAACAAGAAUUGUUGCCACUGUCCCCCCAGCCACCAGUCUCCCCUUCCUACUCCCUACUCC
rnacentral:lncRNA from 1 species